GUCAUCUCAUGAUGUUCAGGGUCUUGCUGCUCCUGUUUGCCGUGGCUGGUCUCCAUGCAAGACCACUGCACCGAUUCCCAAAUGGUAAAUUAAAACCAAUUGGGCCACAAAUGGUCCAAGAUGAACACAGGGAUAGCUCAGUUCUGAAGCACAUGAACACUGAUGUGAAACCCAAGAAGCAACUACCAGUUCCCGCUGAGUUCUGCAGACAGGGAACAGAACCUUCCAGACGCUUCCUGAUGGACCUGAACACUGGGAUGCUCAAGCGCGGAGUUGGCAAAGUGAACGGAAAAGUUUCAGGAUUGGAUGAGCUCAAACAAGGCACUGAGAACCAGCUGCACACCCUGCAAGAGCUCAGAAUGCGUCCCAUGAUGAGAUCGCAGUACAGCGCGCAGAGCGAAAAACACGAGCAGAGAGCGAUCCCUGCCGAGGUGUACAGAAAAGGCACUGAAACUUCCAGAAAUGUCCUGAUGGACCUGAACACCGGUCUGCUCAAAGAACACAUGAACAAGAUGGACAGGAGAGUAGUGGCAGCUAAAUGGGAAGUGGUUUCUGAGCAUGAGGAUAUAAGAAGCCAAGACUCUUCUGAACAUAAGGAGAACCACAAAGCAGUUCCUGUUGAGAUCCGCAGACAGGGAACAGAACCUUCCAGACGCAUCCUGAUUGACUUGAACACUGGGAUGCCCAAGGAGGAACUCAGCGAAAUGAACAGAAGAGUUUCUGGCUUCUACAAUCCAGCAGCUAUUGAGAAGAGGCAAGGAACAGAACCUUCCAGACGCUUCCUGAUGGACAUGGACACUGGGAUGCUCAAGCACGAAGUUAGCGAAAUGAACAGAAGAGUUUCCGGCUUCUACAAUCCUCCAACUUAUGAGAUGAGGAAGGGAACCCAGAAUUCUCGCGCCACUCUGGUGGAUCCCAGAACUGGACAACUGCUGGAAUCUCUAACAGAGCUAAAGAGGAGCGCAGCGCCAUUGGAUGAGUUCAGACAAGGCACUGAGUACCAGCCGUACAUCCUACAGAAGCUCAGACUGAACAAACAAGACACUGAACCUUCCAGAAACCUCCUGAUGGACCUGAACGCCGGUCUGCUCAAAGAACACAGGAAUGAGAUGGACAGGAGAGUAGGGGGCUCAGCUAAAUGGGAAGUGGUUUCUGAGCAUGAGGAUAUAAGAAGCCAAGACUCUUCUGAACAUAAGGAGAACCACAAAGCAGUUCCUGUUGAGAUCCGCAGACAGGGAACAGAACCUUCCAGACGCAUCCUGAUUGACUUGAACACUGGGAUGCCCAAGGAGGAACUCAGCGAAAUGAACAGAAGAGUUUCUGGCUUCUACAAUCCAGCAGCUAUUGAGAAGAGGCAAGGAACAGAACCUUCCAGACGCUUCCUGAUGGACAUGGACACUGGGAUGCUCAAGCACGAAGUUAGCGAAAUGAACAGAAGAGUUUCCGGCUUCUACAAUCCUCCAGCUUAUGAGAUGAGGAAGGGAACCCAGAAUUCUCGCGCCACUCUGGUGGAUCCCAGAACUGGACAACGGCUGGAAUCUCUAACAGAGCUCCAGAGGAACGCAGUGCCAUUGGAUGAGUUCAGACAAGGCACUGAGUACAAGCUGUACACCCUGCAGGAGCUCAGGAUGCAUGACAUUGUUAGACCAAAGUAAAGCGCUUAAAACGUGUACGAAAGUCACCGUGUUUAGAAUUGAUGAGGCCUGGUGGACAACGUUUGGCUGUGUUCGUACCCUAUGACUGCAUGAAGACCAUCUCAGAACAUCUAGUUGACUGUACUGUUGUAUUCAGAGGUUUCAUGCAAUAAAAGUGUCAUGCGAUAUUUGGAAUGACCGCA
ensembl:lncRNA